rnacentral:rRNA from 1 species
CUACGGGGUGCUGCAGUGAGGAAUAUUGCGCAAUGGACGAAAGUCUGACGCAGCCAUGCCGCGUGCAGGAUGACGGCGCUAUGCGUUGUAAACUGCUUUUAUAUGCCAAGAAACCUUCGGACGUGUCCGAAGCUGACGGUAGCAUAUGAAUAAGCACCGGCUAACUCCGUGCCAGCAGCCGCGGUAAUACAGAGGGUGCAAGCGUUAUCCGGAUUUAUUGGGUUUAAAGGGUCCGUAGGCGGAUCAUUAAGUCAGGGGUGAAAGCCGGCAGCUCAACUGUCGAACUGCCAUUGAUACUGGUGAUCUUGAAUACGGUUGAAGUUGGCGGAAUAGGUCAUGUAGCGGUGAAAUGCUUAGAUAUGACCUAGAACACCGAUUGCGAAGGCAGCCAACUAAGCCGUUAUUGACGCUGAGGGACGAAAGCGUGGGGAGCGAACAGGAUUAGAUACCCGUGUAGUC